AGUUUGUAACGACUUCGCAAAGCAUGACACAAAAAUUUCCUGCAUUUCAUGAUUUAUUUGAUUUUCUGUAUUAUCUGGCAUGAUGUAUAUUUGAUCUUUUGUGCUAACGUACCAUUUUCGUAUUCAAACAAAUUAUUUUCAUAAUGGUGAGAUAGAUAAAUGAGAAAGCUAAAUGGUAAGAUAAAAUAAUAAACUUUUGAAAUAUUACGAUGUUAAUUUAAUUUUCCUUACUGAGCAU
rnacentral:lncRNA from 1 species